CAAUCCAAGCUGGGAUCUUCCCACUCUGUUCCACUGCUUUGCGGCUCAUUAAUGCUUACCUUCCUACAGCAGACAGGAAAAGAAGUCAGUUCCCUGUGGCAUGGUGAAUCUGAGUGUGACCCACAGCGGGCAAUAGAGGCACCCUGCUGAGCCUGUCUGUGAGCUCUGGACACCAAGAUCUAUCCCCUGAAGGUCACCACACACUUGAGUACUGCCACAGCCUGUCUCAGCUCACUUGAUUGAGACUCCAUGUUCUAAAAAGGGUGGCCAUGGUUCCCUGAGUGAAAGUGUGUGUCCAAAUGUGUCAUCUUUUACACCUUCAACAUGUGUGGGCCAACGGAACCUUUUAAAAAUGAGACUGCACAGUGAAUUUUUAACUACAGGUGAGAUGAAAAAGCUACUGGUAAGAGGUGACAGACACUUUGGAAGUUCACAACAGGAGAGGCCAUCAAGACAUCAAGAACCACAGCUUGGGGAAGCUAUGGCCUGUACCUGUCAAGGUAGCCAAUGAUGGAAGAGGUCAUACAUAGGCUGCCAAAUAAAGACAGAAGACAGUUGUGGGAAAUCA
rnacentral:lncRNA from 1 species